rnacentral:rRNA from 1 species
CUUUACUGUAGCCUGGUAUUGGGUUCGGGCUUUGACUGCGCAGGAUAGGUGGGAGACUGAGAAGUGUGCCUUGUGGGGCACAUAGAGUCAACGGUGAGAUACCACUCUGUCAGAGCUAGAAUUCUAACCUUCACCCGUGAUCCGGGGAAGGAACCGUAUCAGGUGGGCAGUUUGACUGGGGCGGUCGCCUCCUAAAAGGUAACGGAGGCGCGCAAAGGUGUUCUCAGGCUGGUUGGAAAUCAGCCGUAGAGUGUAAAGGCAGAAGAACGCUUGACUGUGAGAGUGACAACUCAAGCAGGGUGGAAACACGGCCUUAGUGAUCCGACGGUGCCGCAUGGAAGGGCCGUCGCUCAACGGAUAAAAGUUA